rnacentral:rRNA from 1 species
GACGAACGCUGGCGGCGUGCUUAACACAUGCAAGUCGAACGGAAAGGCCCUGCUUUUGUGGGGUGCUCGAGUGGCGAACGGGUGAGUAACACGUGAGUAACCUGCCCUUGACUUUGGGAUAACUUUAGGAAACUGGGGCUCAUACCGGAUAGGAGCUCCUGCUGCAUGGUGGGGGUUGGAAAGUUUCGGCGGUUGGGGCUGGACUCGCGGGUUAUCAGCUUGUUGGUGGGGUUGUGGAUUACCAAGGGUUUGACGGGUAGCCGGCCUGAGAGGGUGACCGGCGACAAUGGGACUGAGGUACGGCCCAGACUCCUACGGGAGGCAGCAGGCGGGAGUAUUGCAGAGUGGGGGGAAGCCUGAUGCAGCAACGCCGCGUGCGGGAUGACGGCCUUCGGGUUGUAAACCGCUUUCGCCUGUGACGAAGCGUGAGUGACGGUAAUGGGUAAAGAAGCACCGGCUAACUACGUG